rnacentral:rRNA from 1 species
UGCGUAGGCGGUUACUUAAGUAGGGUGUGAAAUGUCCCGGCUCAACCGGGGAAUGGCGCUCUAAACUGGGUGGCUUGAGUGAGAUAGAGGUGUGCGGAACUUCCGGUGGAGCGGUGAAAUGUGUUGAUAUCGGAGGGAACACCAUUGGCGAAAGCGGCACACUGGGUCUCAACUGACGCUGAGGCACGAAAGCCAGGGGAGCAAACG